AUACUUUUGAUCAUACUGUUAGAGACAGAGCAUCAAUUCACUGCUUUUGGUGACUUAAUUAGAAAUAGAUUUAAGCCCUUUCUCUUAAAACCUAAUUUGAAAUGCUACAGGUGUUUUCCUUAUCUUCACAGCUCUCAUCUGCCAGCCCCUAGCUACAUGGCAAUUAAAGCUUGCAUUUCUUUCCUAAUGCCAAAAGAUAACCUCAGUCUCUUGGUUUGAUUCUUUGGUUAUGUCUCUCUGGUGUGAUGCAAUGAUGAGUAGGUGGAUCCUUAGUGCAACAAGCUGGAGCUGCAAUGUGGACCUCCCAGUGCAUUCUCUGAGGUCACAUGGAAAACUUUCCCAAGAGUUAAAAUUCAUCAAAAGCUAUCCUGGAAAAAGUUUCUGGAAAAAAUAUUGAAGGUAUGAGCACCAGUUCACCUGCUUCUCCUCACCACAGUAACAGCUACUGCUUGAAACUCCUGCUUACCCCUCUCCCACAAGCCUUGGCAAACUGGGCUGCAGCAUUCAUUCAGCAGGCACCAGCAUGCCUCAGACCUGCCCCUGAGGAAAGUCUUCAUGCAGGAAGCUCUUGAAGAACAAUCCCUUGUAUCGGUGGGACCGGCAAUAGAUUCGAGUCAUCUGAUGUGCAAGAUUAUUUGCUCUGCCAUAGCCAAUUUCAUAUUGACAGCAACCAACACYAGUGUUGAAGUUGGGUGACAUCAACAUUCAGUAUCUGAGCUGCCAGUCCUCCCCCCCUUUUUUUUUUUUGAAGAUCGGCAAAAGAACGUAUAGGGACCUCCCUUGCCUGAGAGGCACAGAGCUGGGUAAGUGGAUAUUUUUGCAAAUUUUUUAAAGAACAUCCUCAGCUUCAAUCUGACAACACAAAACUGAUAUGUUCCUCUUCUCUCCUAGGAGUGGAAAUGUGAGGUCCAACCAGAAGCCACCCAGUGGAAACAGCCCCCUGAGCCGUUCCUCUUGGCACUUUCCGUCGGUGGUGUCGUGUGCCUUAUCUCCGAGUCUCAGCACGCCGGCUCCCUCCUGGACCUCAGUCCGUUUGUCUGCCGAUAAAUGCUUUCCCAUCUGGUUUUGGCUCCACACUGGAUUUCUCCCGGACCUUGAAAGCAGUGAAUAG
rnacentral:lncRNA from 1 species